GAUGCAAUACUGCAGAAUUGGUGAGCCUUACCUCUUCUAGAGGUGUCAGCACAGAAGAAUAACAGCCCCCGAGGCUGGUGUAGGUGGUUACCAGAUCUCCACACUCGUUCUCCGUGUCUGCUUACACACCUGACUUACACUGGAAGAGCUGGGUGAGCAUCUGCCAGUCCCCAGAGCAAAGGAACAGCAGAGAGUUCAGCACAAAAGCAUGAAAAGCCAAGACCUGCAGA